AGACGAUGAAGAUGUUGAAGAUGAUGAAGAGGAGAUGCACUUCAAGUCACAUCGUGAAAAAUGUGAAGCAGCUCAGCAGAGUCCUGAGUAUGAGAAGGUUACCCCAAGAAAGAUUUCUAA